AGGGAUCAGCCAGAGGGGUAAGAAGUCAUGAUUCAAGAAAAUCAGAGUGAGUUGAAAAUAAAGCAACAAGGAAGUUAGGUUUGAAAAUUCAAAUUUUGUUGAAUUCUAAAGAUAAAGGUAUUUCUUAUGUUCUGUAGAAAGCUGGGGUGUGUGUUUCAGCAGUUGAGAAAGUUGUGUGGUAAACGUGUCUCUGUGUAAUACACACAGCUUCUGAAAGUGAGACUGUCAGUCUAUAUAUGUAUUUACACCUGUGACUCAAGAUGGUUUAGAAGGCAUGUGCCUUGGGGAAGUAUAUAUAUAUAUGGAUAUAUAUAUUGUGGUAACAGGACUUGUUCUUCACUUUAGACUUCGUUGGAGGGUUUUAACAUAUUUUCGAAUGUUUUCAUCUAAACAGUAGCUCCCAAGAUGGCUGGCUGCCUGUUCUGGGUUUGCCUAAGGCCAUCAUUUCAAACAAACAUUUUCACUGCUGUCAGAGCUCUGCAGUAUUCCCAUUUUCAAAGCCUCUUCUAUUAUAGUAAAUCAUACCCCUGCGGGUUCUAAAGAUACUAAAAAUACUUUUCUCUUGUUCUCUUUUACUUUAAGGUCCUUAGGGACCUUAUUUUCUUCAACUUCUUUUAUCUGGGGAAAAAAAACAACACUUCUUACAUCAGUUCCCUAGACAUGUUGGAGGACUCUUUUAUAUACUUUACUGAAAUAUCAUUUUAAAAAUGACACUUCCCAAGGACCAGUUUUUCCAUUUGUGUUUACGUCUGCAUCAUAUGAAAUUUCAAAUCGAUCAGGUGACCGUUUUUUUUUAAUAAAAAUUUAAAAACUCAUCUAACACAAGUUUAGAGCAUACAUCCAUACAUAUUUAAGAGCAAACCCCCCCCCCCCAUAAGCCAAGGGGUGUGUGUGUUUAAUGGAAUACUAAAACGCCGCCUCAGUUUCUUUUAAAACCUCAAGGCAAACACGUGGUUAUGGGUCUGACAUUGCUGGUUCUGCUGGCCUUUUGUGACUAGAUAUUGACCAGCAGAGUGAAAAUUGCUUGUCACUCUCUGAUGGGCUUGAUCUGGCUUCUUGCCUAGAGAUAGAAAAUCAGGCCCUCCAGGAACAUUGGUAAAUUUUAUCUACAUUUAUAUUGCCUUUUCUGUUUCUACGCAACAGUUGCGGUUCAAUGAAACAAGUUCCUGUCAAUAACAAAGAGUUAAUUUCUUAUCCUAAUAACUUAGGUAUGACUUCCUGAUACUGUUCAAAAUAGGAAAAGAAAAAUCCUUUUAUUUGUUUUGUCAACAGAAUAUUAUUAUUUAAUAUUAUUAAGGAGCAAGGGUGGGAGUUUUUAAAAUUAGGUAACUUUGGGGCCCUUUCAGCCUUGUCAUUGUCUCACAGAUCCUCUUCUAAGUAAUUUUAAAACCAAGUUUGAAGCAGCUGCCCUUUGUAAGAACAUUACAAACCAUGCUUACAUGACACACAGCUGGGCUUACUGCUCAUGGUCAUUACUCGCGGGUCUUCUCCAGCCUCUCUGAAGGAGCAAGGCUAAAAUCACUUCCCUCCACCCUCCUUUGUUUUAUGUACAUAUUGUAGCUGAUCUCCAGAAUUUUUGACCAUGCUUUAUCUAUAAAUAUAAAAUUGAAGUUCUUGAGAAUUAACCGUUUAAGUUAAAAUAAUUAGGAAGAGCUUGCCCCAGGUUGACUAAUUUAUAGUUUUUCUUUGUAUUACCAGUUUUUUUCCUCCAGUUUUUCUAUUGAAAAGUAUUCCUGAACCCAUAAAGACUUGUUAAGAUAUCAUUCUAGAAUCCCCACUAUUUAUUAUAGUUGUUAUAGUAACAGUGGAACCCAAGUUUUUUUUCAGAGCAUUAUUCAGUUUUUCAUAUGUAGGCAGAAAUGAUUUCAGGGGAAAGGUGAACCCAAAGCCCCAGUUGUGGGCAUGAGGCUCCAAUUUCCUAAAUCAUUUGUGGUUAUAAUGAUGGAUAGAUACCACCUUGUCUGGCACCUGGUCCACAGCUUUCCUGAAGUCUGCUAUAAGAGGGAGUAAAGGGCAGCCUGGGGGCCCCCAGCAAGAGCUGGAGGAGGGUCUGGAUGACCUGGAGGGUAGUUCCAAAGCAGUGUUGCCACAGCCCCUCUUCGGCACUGCUGUGAUCAAAUGCUCAUAGGAAAGCCUGAAGAGAGAGCAGAUGUGUAUGUAGGGGAAGAAAGCUGUGUAGUCGAAAAACAGGGUUGUUAUUCUUGAGUUGUACAGAGAACUGCGUUAACAGUAAAGCUUUGUGCCAUUGACAAGGUGUGAAAGAGGUAACCUGUGUUAGUCUGAGACUUGUGACCUGCCCUGCCUAUGUCUAGCCAGCCAGAGUGAAUGGGGCCAGGGUUAGCUGCCUUCAUCUAUGCAGUCACAAAGGUAAAGGUGAUACUGGAGAGGAUAUUCCCUCCUGGGAGGCCUUGGCCUCACGCCCCAGCAACCUCGGCCAGACUGGCUAAAUAACACCUUUGUCUGAGACAGGGUUAUGCAUGUUCUCCUCUUCUACACCCUCAUGACAAGUCAAGGUGGCUUAAGAUCAAGAAGCAAGGACAUGGAUGUGGACUAUCCCUCCGAGCAGCUCUAAAGUAGGGCCAUGCACAUUGCCUUCCUGCAUGAGUUCCAUCUUGGGAAAAGUCAAAGGAGCCAGAGAGGCGUUGAAUGUGGAGCUGAACUAACAAGAAAAGAAAGUGUCAGAGCCCUAGAGAAUAAGAGACGCUCGCUGCUGGUGAGAGAGGGUAUGGCCAGGAUUCCUGGAAUUGGAAGAUCUUCAGCUUCACCAUCUUUGGAGAACAAGGAAGAACAUGAACGAGAUGUGGCCCUUCUUAGUCGCAAGGAUUCUGACAGAGGGCACACAGAGGAGCAGCUGGCACACCAGGAGCCCUCCAACCUUGAUCCAAGCAUGCAGGCUCCACCCUGCAGCCUCCCCGCUGGGCUCAGCCUGGACGACUUCAUCCCUGGCAAUCUCCGGGCUCACAUAGGGUCAUCCUCCCAGGGGGCACGGGUGCCUGUGAUCCGGAAUGGUGGCUCCAACACCCUUAAUUUCCAGUUUCAUGACCCUGCGCCCAGGACCGUGUGCAAUGGGUACUUACCCUCCAGGAGAGAUGCUUCCCGGCACCCAGACCCUGCCUGGUAUCAGACCUGGCCAGGUCCUGGGAGCCAGCCCCCUGGGAGCCAGAAGACCCCUGCCUCCCAGCACCCCCACAACUGGUCAGCCACAUGGACCAAGGACAACAAGCGUCGGGACAAGCGCUGGAUCAAGUAUGAAGGAAUCGGGCCCGUGGAUGAGAGCGGCAUGCCAAUUGCCCCCCGAUCUAGUGUUGACAGCCCCAGGGACUGGUACCGAAGAAUGUUCCAGCAGAUUCACCGGAAAAUGCCAGACCUGCAGCUGGACUGGACCUUUGAGGAAUCACCCAAAGUGGCUUCCUCCUGUGCGGCCUCUGCAGACUCAAGGCAUCCAGCGCCCCAGCAAAGACCGGCUGCCAGGCCAGGCCAGGCCUCUUCUCUGAGUGGAAGAAGUUGGGACCCCUCUGAAGAGUCUUCUAGAAGCACCUUCAACUGUAAUCCUGGAGCAUCCUCCCUACACCAAACCCCACAUCAGGUGCUCAGACGCCAAGAGAAAGUGGAAAAUGUCUGGACGGAAGAUUCUUGGAACCAAUUUCUGCAAGAACUAGAGAGUGGGCAGAAGCCCAAGAAACCGCUAGUGGAUGACCCUGUUGAGAAGCCCUCCCAGCCCAUUGAGGUCCUGCUGGAGAGAGAGCUGGCCAAGCUGAGCGCGGAGCUGGACAAGGACCUGCGGUCAAUUGAGACCCGGCAGCCAUCCCCCAAGAGUUCCCAAGUGCCCCGACGGUGCCGGGAGCCGCGGCCUCCAGCGCGCCCGGCCUCCGCCUGGAGCUCCAGUUACCCGAAUGCACUUUACCAGGGUUCCUCCCGGCCCCUGAGCCCCCACAGAAUGGCGGAUGGAACAAGCCCCUUCCUAGGUCGCAGGGACUUUGUCUACCCUACCUCCGCCCGAGACCCUAGUGCCUCUGAACGAGGGGGCAGCCCAGCCAGGAAGGAAGAGAAGAAGAGGAAGGCCGCCAGACUCAAGUUUGACUUCCAGGCACAGUCCCCCAAGGAGCUGACUCUGAAGAAGGGUGACAUUGUCUACAUCCACAAGGAGGUGGACAAGAACUGGCUGGAAGGGGAGCACCAUGGUAGACUGGGCAUCUUCCCUGCCAAUUAUGUGGAAGUGCUGCCUGCAGAUGAGAUCCCUAAGCCCAUCAAGCCUCCAACCUACCAGGUGCUGGAGUAUGGAGAAGCAGUGGCCCAGUACACUUUCAAGGGGGAUCUGGAGGUGGAGCUGUCCUUCCGCAAGGGGGAGCGCAUCUGCCUGAUCCGCAAGGUGAAUGAGAACUGGUACGAGGGGCGCAUCUCCGGCACAGCGCGCCAGGGCAUCUUCCCUGCCAGCUACGUGCAGGUGUGCCGUGAUCCCCGGGUCCGGAUCUGUGACGAUGGCCCCCAGCUCCCUGCAUCUCCCCGUCUGACCACCGCCCGUCUGGCUCGGCACUCCAGCUCCCCAUUAGCACCACACAGCCCAGUCGAUCCUGACUGGGGGAGCCAGACCUCCCCCCGCCGUACUGGCUUCUCCUUCCCCACCCAGGAGCCCAGAGCCCAGGGCCAGUCUGCCCCAGGAAGGAUCAGUGGAAUAGCUGGGCAGAACCUUGCACAGCAGAGCCACCCUGGCCUUGUGGACCACAGACCUCUCAAGUUGGUUCUGGCCCUUGCGCUGCAGCCCAGGAAGGCAUGGGGCAGCCAGCUAGUUUUAGGGUUUCGGCACCCCUGGGUCAGCUCUGUCCCAUCCUGGAGGCUCCAGCCGUCCCGUGGACCUGGGGACCUCCCCAAACACCACUCAGAUACACUGGACCCCGUAUCGGGCGAUGUACCAGUACCGGCCCCAGAAUGAGGAUGAGCUGGAGCUGCGGGAGGGGGAUCGUGUGGACGUCAUGCAGCAGUGUGAUGAUGGCUGGUUUGUGGGUGUCUCCCGGAGGACCCAGAAAUUUGGGACAUUCCCUGGAAAUUAUGUAGCUCCGGUUUGAGUGGUGGUCUCCGUGGCAACUCAAAGCCAAGCCAGGAUGGGGUGGGGAGCGGUAGCACUUACAGGAGGGAGAGAAGAUCCACCCCCCUCCCUUCCCCAAGACCUGACCUGCUGGCAUCUGCAGACAACUCCAGCAGCCAUUCUUUGGAGCCCCCUCGAAGCCCCCUGGACUGCUUCCCACCCACAACUCACAAACAUUCCUCCAACAGCCUUUUUAUUUCCUCCCCUACCACACUCCCCAAAUAUAGAGGUCUGCUUUGAAGUGGAGACUGUUUCCAGGCCUUAUUGAGACCAGACCCUGGAGCCCCCCACCCCGCCCUGCUAUGGCAUUUCCUCUAACAGGGACCAGCUCCCAGCUUCACCCCCAUGGGGUUCUUCUAACAAGGACCAGCUUCCUAACCUAACAGAGACCAAAGGCCGCCUCUGCUUGGAGGAGAUUCCUCCUCUUUCAGUCCAGCUUACCUGCUGCCCCCUUUGCCUUCCUGCCUCCAGCUGGGCUUGGGAGUGAGGUGGGAGAGGGACACAGCACCUCCUUAGUGCCCAAGGCCUGGUAAGAGGUCUUGCCUGAAGGCGCCCUCUUCCCAAAGGCUGCCAAGCCCUGGGCUUGGGCUGUGUGGGCCAUCCUGCUGCUGUAGUGCCCAGGAAGGGCUGGGCCUCAGAGGACUGGCCUAUUCCAGGUGUUUUCCCAGAAGACUGAUAUGUGCUGCCCUCCAGCCUCCCCAGCUCCUCCAACCCCCAAGUCCCCUCUGAAAGAGAAUGUCAAAUAAAUCUGGAUACAGGGAC